GACGAACGCUGGCGGCGUGCUUAACACAUGCAAGUCGAGCGGAGCGGCGCACGGGUGAGUAACGCGUGAGUAACUGCCCCCCUCUCUGGGAUAACAGUUGGAAACGGCUGCUAAUACCGGAUAGAGGGGGAUGAUUCGCGUCCUAUCAGCUUGUUGGUGGGGUAGUGGCCUACCAAGGCGACGACGGGUAGCCGGCCUGAGAGGGGGACCGGCCCCAAUGGGCGUAGGUACGGCCCAAACGCCUACGGGGGGCAGCAGGGGGGAAUAUUGCACAAUGGGGGAAACCCUGAGGCAGAAGCGCCGCGUGCGGGAUGAAGGCCUUCGGGUUGUAAACCGCUUUCAGCCAUGACGCGGUAGUGGCAGAAGAAGCACCGGCUAACUACGUGCCAGCAGCCGCGGUAAUUC
rnacentral:rRNA from 1 species